CGUGGUUCUUCAGGUAAACAAAUCCAACGGUAGAAAAAGCUGAAUCCAGUUCGUUGGCUACUCGAUCAACGGUACUUUCCCGCGGUUUAUCCAAAUGAUGCAAUCCUAUCAAACAAUUCACUGUUUGUAUGGAUCUUUGCAGCACGCGCAAUAUAAAGCUGAUUGGACGAAUUGUUUCGACCAGUCUGGGAAAUAACUGCGCACUUGUGCCGAACGUUGUCAGAUAACUUGUGGGAUUGGCCUUCAAUGUAUUUACAGAGUCGCAUUCGAGCUUGGAAGAUGUUGGUCCCCCCCAAAAGACAAACUGAUCACUAUCGCCUUCUUCCUGUUAAAGUGCCCUGGGGCUUUCAGCAGCUUAUCAAAAGUUAUCUUACAGUUUUAAAGACCCCCCACUGGAGUUGUGUUUAGAUGUCCCUUGUACGAAGUUAAAAUGGCUGGCAAUAAAUCUAACUAGAGACGUGA